CUCAAAGCAGACUUCAUCAUCCGGUGGCUGUGCCCAACACCAUCUCAGUGCCAGACCACUCCAGCUCACCAUCCCUCCAUCCCCCUGCAAGCUGCUCUGUGCACUGCUCAGGGUUUGCUCAUCCCUUUCAGCACACAGCACUUCCUACCUGCCGGAGCUGUCUGAACACACCAGCGCAUCAAGAGCUGAACCCGCACACACAGCUCUCCAUUCCUGUGACAUUUACGCUGAGUUGGGCUCUGCAGGAGCACUGCUGGCAGUGAGCACAGUGCUCCCAAAGGCACACUGGGAUGCACUCAGGAUGUGGGCAGGUAAGGAAACACAUGCAGGAGUGCUGGAAUUGCUAUGGAGCACGGGUUACUUACAGCUACAAGGACACUCUUAGAAGCAGAACUUCUGCAAUCCUCUUGGACAAAGCAGGCAAAGCAAUUAAAACCAUCGUGCUGUGACAAAUAAGCAAGCAUUCCUUCUUGGUCCCUCCCUCCUUUUCUUUCAUCCACUCCAAAAAGCCAGAGGUACCGAGAUGGGGGAUUUGGAACUGAGAAGGACUGCAAGGAAGUUUCAGCCCAGGCGAUGGACAAACCUAUUUUUAGUGGAAUGGAAAAUGCUCCUCAGAGGCCGUGGAGCGCUGCAGUGUGAGACACAUUUCCUCCUUCCUCGUUUCUGCUGGAAGAAGAGAACUUCAGAAGCAAAGAGCAAAAAUAAGAAAACUGCCACUCCAGUGGCUGACUGCCUGUGGCUGCAUUGGCAGCAGCAUUUUCUUGGGGGAAAAUCCCAGUGUCACCUGGUUCUGAGUGUGCAGGGGCUCAGCUGGGAUGCACAAAACCUGGGGUGAGCUGCCAAGGCUUUGCAGCUCCGAAACACUCUAAGAUUUCCCUUCUGUUUUGGGGGGUCAGAAAGGAGUGUUUUUGUUACCAUCCAAACACGUCAUAUGAACUUACACGAAAUUAUCGACUGUGUGAUUGAACGAUGCUCUGCAGUUUGGGCUCUGUAACAGCAAAAGAGCCAACGACGAGUGGUGAUCUUUCAAUUGCCAUGAAAAUACUUCUGACUGUUUUAACAGUGGCCCCUCAAGGCAGAAAUGAUUCCUAU
ensembl:lncRNA